rnacentral:rRNA from 1 species
UACAGAGGGUGCGAGCGUUGCUCGGAAUCACUGGGCGUAAAGGGCGCGUAGGCGGCGCGGGUAGUCGUCGGUGAAAGCUCAGGCUCAACUCUGAGUCGGCCGGUGAUACUCCCGUGCUCGAGCACUGUAGAGGCAGGUGGAAUUCCGGGUGUAGCGGUGGAAUGCGUAGAGAUCCGGAAGGAACACCGGUGGCGAAGGCGGCCUGCUGGGCAGUGACGCUGACG